rnacentral:rRNA from 2 species
UGCAGUCGAACGAGUUUUGGUCGAUGAACGGUGCUUGCACUGAGAUUCGACUUAAAACGAGUGGCGGACGGGUGAGUAACACGUGGGUAACCUGCCCUUAAGUGGGGGAUAACAUUUGGAAACAGAUGCUAAUACCGCAUAAAUCCAAGAACCGCAUGGUUCUUGGCUGAAAGAUGGCGCAAGCUAUCGCUUUUGGAUGGACCCGCGGCGUAUUAGCUAGUUGGUGAGGUAACGGCUCACCAAGGCGAUGAUACGUAGCCGAACUGAGAGGUUGAUCGGCCACAUUGGGACUGAGACACGGCCCAAACUCCUACGGGAGGCAGCAGUAGGGAAUCUUCCACAAUGGACGCAAGUCUGAUGGAGCAACGCCGCGUGAGUGAAGAAGGCUUUCGGGUCGUAAAACUCUGUUGUUGGAGAAGAAUGGUCGGCAGAGUAACUGUUGUCGGCGUGACGGUAUCCAACCAGAAAGCCACGGCUAACUACGUGCCAGCAGCCGCGGUAAUACGUAGGUGGCAAGCGUUAUCCGGAUUUAUUGGGCGUAAAGCGAGCGCAGGCGGUUUUUUAAGUCUGAUGUGAAAGCCCUCGGCUUAACCGAGGAAGCGCAUCGGAAACUGGGAAACUUGAGUGCAGAAGAGGACAGUGGAACUCCAUGUGUAGCGGUGAAAUGCGUAGAUAUAUGGAAGAACACC